rnacentral:tRNA from 1 species
GGAGGGAUGUCCGAACGGCAAGGAGCCGGUCUCGAAAACCGGUAGGGCCUUAUGGCCUUCGGGGUUCGAGUCCCCGUCCCUCCGCCA